AUGGCGACCGGCGCACGGGUGAGUAACACGUAUCCAACCUGCCGAUGACUCGGGGAUAGCCUUUCGAAAGAAAGAUUAGUACCCGAUGGCAUAGUUCUUCCGCAUGGUAGAACUAUUAAAGAAUUUCGGUCAUCGAUGGGGAUGCGUUCCAUUAGCUUGUUGGCGGGGUAACGGCCCACCAAGGCAUCGAUGGAUAGGGGUUCUGAGAGGAAGGUCCCCCACAUUGGAACUGAGACACGGUCCAAACUCCUACGGAAGGCAGCAG
rnacentral:rRNA from 1 species